rnacentral:lncRNA from 1 species
GAUCUCAUUUAAAGAUAAAUUCUUCCUAGCCACUAUAUAGAAGCACUAAUCACCAUAGGGAUGGGAUAGAAUCUAUGAUUUCUAUAUCAAAUAAACCACAUGUGCUCUCUGACCAACUAAUUAGCUUGUUAUUAAUAUAUUAAACCUCCUUCAAGGGAUCUCCUAUCAUGGAGGUUGGGUUUCCACCGCUGAAAGAUUCUUUAUAGGCUAAGCCCCGUCCUUCUCGAUAACUCUAGGAUCUUAAUCCUAUUAAAAUAUUUUGUAAGGCAUACAUCUCAAAAAUAAUAGAUAAACAGAUAUCCAUAAAUAUAGUAUAACUUAAUCCUAAAUAAGAAAUAUUGCAAUGAAUAUUCAACACAUAACAUAUCAUACAUCUCCUAUGCCUAUAUAAAUCAUGUGCCUGUGAGCAAUGUUGAGAAACUAUUGAUGUCAAAAAAAAUCAACACUAAGUAAAUCCAAAUUAUACUAUUACAUAGAUCACCAUUAUCAAUGAAAUAAGAAAAAUAUUUUUUCAUGUUGCAUAGUGUUGAGACAAUUCAACCGACUCCUCAAUUCCGACUUUCAAUUGACCUGAUAAGAACGAACUACUGACUAUCAAUUGGUUGGCCGACUGACAGUUGACUAUCCUCAACCAUCCUUGGCAAACUCCAACUAUGAUAACUCGACUGAUUUCAGAUCGAUGACCAUCGAUAUAUUAAAAUUGCCAAUCGAUGGUCAUUCGAAUUUCCUCAAUUACCGACAUACAGUUGGCAAACCUGAAACUGCCAGCGCAGAAAGUGCGUAAUGGUCAGAACAUGAUCAGUGACGAG